ensembl:lncRNA
CAUAAGUUGGCUCGAAGCAUCCUAGGUCGAACUGCCAGCACACAGCUGACACAAAGUAAUGUCGUCCGCAAAAGGAGGCAACCACCGGCAGCAGAAAUGCUGUGAUACAAAAUCAGCUUUCCCUUGGGGAUAUGCUGUGAAGCCUGUGAAGACAGACCAAAGGGGGAUAUGCUGUGAAGACAGACACAACAUACUGCAAUGGGGAUGACUGAAGCAAAAGUGGGUGACUGAAGCCUGCUUGAUUGAAGUGGGGUUUAUGGGUGCCUCUCCCACUCCCCUCCCCAUCAAUCUCUGUAGUUGGUUGCAUUUCCUAAAGUUUAAGUAAUUCAUGUGAUAUCCCAUUUUGUCACUUUUUAUAUGUUUUUGCAUUUGGAUGGGAAAUUAGUUUGACAAAUUGUAUGAAUCAAUGGAGUCCUGCACAGUGUAGGCCGGGCCAGGUGCCUAUAUUAGGCUUACUGCUCUAAUAUAUUUUUUUUAUGUCAUGUUUCACUGUUAUUUCUCAAUAUUUUGACUAUGCUGGCCUAUUUUUAAAUGAUCAAAUACAUGUCUGAUCAACACAUACAAUUCUGAACAUAGUCAUAAUGCCAAUGCAGAGUCACCAAUCAUGGGCCAUGAUGAUGUUAUAUGUCCUCGUCAGAGCUGUCCAAGCACACACGAAGACAGCGUAACAAGACAGAGGUGGAAAAAAACUAAGUAGCUGCAAAGAGCCAAGUUUGUUCAUCAAUCACAUUUUUAUUUGUCACGUGUUAUAAACGAGAACUUCACUCUUCAACUCUCAUCUUAUCCCUUAUCUAUAUCAAUAGACUCGAUUUGUGGAUAAAUCCCAAGCUUGUCCAUGUUUAAAGGCAAAUGUAUUAAUCUAAUGUAAUAUAAGGCAAGUUAAGAAGCAUCUGUAUGAAACAUCUGUAGUCUUUUUUCAUAAAACAAGCGUAAUGUAAAGAGUGAUUUAAAAUGGGCGAUCUGAACUUAAAAUUGGAGAAUGCUCUAGCGUUAUGAUUAGAAAACAUUUUGUAGGAAAACUUCAUGCUUUUCC